GGACUACAGGGGUAUCUAAUCCUGUUUGCUCCCCACGCUUUCGUGCCUCAGCGUCAAUACAGGUCCAGCAAGCUGCCUUCGCAAUCGGUGUUCUAUGGCAUAUCUAAGCAUUUCACCGCUACAUGCCACAUUCCGCCUACCUCAACCUGAUUCAAGUUUGGCAGUAUCAAUCGCAGUUCCGCCGGUUAAGCCGGGGAAUUUCACAACUGACUAACCAAACCGCCUACGCACCCUUUAAACCCAGUGAUUCCGGAUAACGCUUGCACCCUCCGUAUUACCGCGGCUGCUGGCAC
rnacentral:rRNA from 2 species